UUUAAAGCACAUAAGGGCGUAUGGUGGAUGCCUUGGCUCUGAGAGGCGAUGAAGGACGUGGUAAGCUGCGAUAAGCUGCGGGGAGAUGCACACAAUCGAUACAUCCGCAGAUUUCCGAAUGGGACAACCCGCUAUGUUGAAGACAUAGCAUCUCGAAAGAGAAGCCAACCCUCUGAACUGAAACAUCUAAGUAGGAGGAGGAAAAGAAAAUAAACAAUGAUUCCCCAAGUAGUGGCGAGCGAACAGGGAAGAGCCCAAACUUGAGGUGCGUGCACCUUGAGGGUUGUAGGACCGCAUUUAGAAAGCUCAAUCAAGCUGAAGCCCCUGGAAAGUGGCGUCAUAGAGGGUGAUAAUCCCGUAAGCAGAAAUUUGAGUGGACGAGCGGUAUCCUGAGUAGGGCGGGACCGGAGAAAUCCUGCCUGAAUCUGCCGGCACCAUCCGGUAAGGCUAAAUACUCCUCAGAGACCGAUAGUGAACCAGUACCGUAAGGGAAAGGUGAAAAGCACCCUGAAUAAGGGAGUGAAAUAGUACCUGAAACCGUACGCCUACAAGCGGUCGGAGCCUAUAGCAAUAUGGGUGACGGCGUGCCUUUUGCAUAAUGAGCCUACGAGUUGCUCCUCACUGGCGAGGUUAAGUUCUUAACUAACGGAGCCGUAGCGAAAGCGAGUCCAAAUAGGGCGUUUUAGUCAGUGGGGGCAGACGCGAAACUUUGUGAUCUAUCCAUGGUCAGGUUGAAGGUUAGGUAAAACUAACUGGAGGACCGAACUCAUAAACGUUGAAAAGUUUUGGGAUGAACUGUGGAUAGGGGUGAAAGGCCAAUCAAACUGAGAGAUAGCUCGUUCUCCCCGAAAUGUUUUUAGGAACAGCGUCGCAUUUUAGAAGUUUAUUAGAGGUAGAGCUACUGAUUGGGCUAGGGGGCUUCACCGCCUACCAAACCCUGACAAACUCCGAAUGCUAAUAAAUAUCUGCGGCAGUGAGGCUGCGGGCGCUAAGGUCCGUGGCCGAGAGGGAAAUAACCCAGAAUAGCAGCUAAGGUCCCUAAUACAUGGUUAAGUUGAUCAAACGAGGUGGAGUUUCUAUAACAGCCAGGAUGUUGGCUUGGAAGCAGCCAUUCAUUUAAAGAGUGCGUAACAGCUCACUGGUCGAGAGACUCUGCGCGGAAAAUAAUCGGGCAUCAAACCAUGAACCGAAGCUCUAUGAUACAUACUUUCAGUAUGGAUCGGUAGGGGAGCAUUGAAACCUGCAUCGAAGGUGAUAAGCGAUUAUUGCUGGAGCGGUUUCAAAAGAAAAUGUAGGCAUAAGUAACGAUAAAACAGGUGAAAAACCUGUUCGCCGAAAGUCUAAGGGUUCCUGAUCAACGUUAAUCGGAUCAGGGUUAGUCGGGUCCUUAGGUGAACCCGAAAGGGGUAACUGAUGGAAAGCUGGUUAAUAUUCCAGCACCCGUUUUAGUUUCGAUGGGGUGACGCAGUUGUGAAAGUUCCCCGCACUUACGGAAUAGUGCGGUUAAGUACGUAGCUAUUUGUUUUCCAGGCAAAUCCGGAAGAUAAGGCGAAAUACGAAAGUACACCAAUGCUUCGGCUGCGGUGAGUGAACCUAAAGGCUGCCGAGAAAAACCUCUAAGGCUAGGCUAAGACGGCCCGUACCGCAAACCGACACAGGUAGACGGGAUGAAUAUUCUAAGGCGCUCGGGUGAGCCGUGGAGAAGGAACUAGGCAAAUUGACGCUGUAACUUCGGGAUAAGGCGUACCAUAGCGAUAUGGUCACAGUAAAAUGGUUCAACCAACUGUUUAACAAAAACACAGGGCUCUGCAAAAUCGUAAGAUGAAGUAUAGGGCCUGAUACCUGCCCGGUGCUGGAAGGUUAAGGAAGGGUGUUCGGGGGUAACCCCAAAGCUCCUGACUGAAGCCCCAGUAAACGGCGGCCGUAACUAUAACGGUCCUAAGGUAGCGAAAUUCCUUGUCGGGUAAGUUCCGACCUGCACGAAUGGUCUAAUGAGUUGAACACUGUCUCCUCCACGAGCCCGGUGAAAUUGUAGUAUCGGUGAAGAUGCCGGUUACCCGCCACGGGACGGAAAGACCCCGUGAACCUUCACUACAACUUUGCAUUGAUUUUGAACAACCAGUGUGUAGGAUAGUUGGGAGACUAUGAAGCAUCGUCGCCAGGCGGUGUGGAGUCAACGUUGAAAUACCAACCUCUGUUUGUUUAGAGUCUAAUCCCUAACGGGAAACAGUGCAUGGUGGGUAGUUUGACUGGGGUGGUCGCCUCCUAAAGAGUAACGGAGGCUUGCAAAGGUUCCCUCAGUACGGUUGGUAAUCGUACGCAGAGCGCAUCAGUAUAAGGGAGCUUGACUGUGAGACAGACAAGUCGAUCAGGGACGAAAGUCGGCUGAAGUGAUCCGGUGGUUCCGCAUGGAAGGGCCAUCGCUCAAAGGAUAAAAGGUACUCCGGGGAUAACAGGCUGAUCUUUCCCAAGAGCUCAUAUCGACGGAAAGGUUUGGCACCUCGAUGUCGGUUCGUCACAUCCUGGGGCUGGAGAAGGUCCCAAGGGUUCGGCUGUUCGCCGAUUAAAGUGGCACGUGAACUGGGUUCAGAACGUCGCAAGACAGUUCGGUCCCUAUCUGUGGUGGGCGCAAGUAAAUUGAGAGGACAUGACCUUAGUACGAGAGGACCGGGUCGUACGUACCGCUGGUGUAUCAGUUGUGCCGCCAGGUGCAAUGCUGAGUAGCUAAGUACGGACAGGAUAAACGCUGAAAGCAUCUAAGCGUGAAACCUUCCUCAAGAUGAGUUUACUUUUAAGGGCCGUAGGAGACGACUACGUUGAUAGGCUACAGAUGUAAAGCUGGUAACAGCACAGUCGAGUAGUACUAAUUGCCCGUACGCUUUAAUUU
rnacentral:rRNA from 1 species